UGAGCAUACUGGAGUCACGUGGCAGCACGCUCAUCUAAUUAAUGAAGUGACAGUUUUAUGCUGUGAAGUAGCAAAAGGACUUGACAAGACUCAUGGCUUUUCUCAUUGACUCUAAAAGCUGGAAUGAUGUUUCUUAACAUUCGCACAAGCCAUGAAUAUCAUAUGUAUUGGGGAAUCAGAAGUAUCAGCCGGUUUGGAGUAUUGGGAGGACACUGGAAGAGCGGAAUUUAAGGCAGCAUUGUGUGGGUUACUGCAAUAUUAAAAUGGCAGAGUUCCCUGACCUCCCUUGCAGGACAAGUGACAGAGGGAUGCAGAAAAUGGCUGAACCUGAGGAGACACCUGGUGGAGAAUAAAAGCAUUCUUCUCUCUGGGGGAGGACAAGAAAUGAACACUUAGCACAAACAUAUUAUUGUGACAAUUACAUCAGGCAUUGACUCGAAUGCUGUGCCAGCUCCAUAAGACACCAUGGAAUCAUAGAGGAAACGAUCUCAGUUUUAAAGAGGACUGACUUUGUUUCGAUGCUCCUUAAUUUCCAAACUUGUUUUAACUCUUCUACCAGAGACUGACUCUGUUUUAUAUCUCAGUCCAAUUGUCCCAGUGAUUGUUGUGCUCACACCUUUACAUCAUUAAUAAUUCCAUAUGACUGUGGACAUACCUUCCAUUAACUAUUGAAGUAUUUCCUAAGUAGAGUAGUAAGACAAAGCCCAGGGUCAUGAAUUGCUGAAACUCUAAAGCCAUUGCAGUUUAUCCUGGAUACCUUUUGUUCUAGUUCAUUCUUUCUUGGCUUUUAGGUAGGUAUAACUUUUUUCUCCCAUCAAAUUUUACACUCAGGGUAGAAUCCAGAAUUAGUUAACUAGACUUUGAUAUGAGUUUGACACGAUGUUCACAGAUAUCAUUGACUUUUAGAUAUGAAAAUGAUUGUAAAUAUAUCCUAGUCCAAUCUCCAUGUGUUAUAUUGUUAUAUAUAAGAAAGCUGUGUCUCAGAGAUAAGCUUUGGAUUCCACAGCAUGUUAGUGGCAGAUCAGGGAGCCUGGAGCUUAGGUUAGAGAGUAUAAUAAUUGUUUUUGAUUGCAAACAAUGGAAGGCUCAAUAUAAAUUGCCUUAAGAAAAAGACAGGUUUGGAAGAUAAGAAAUAUGCUGGCUCAUGUCAUUGGCCAUUCCAGGGGAUGAUCUAAACAUGGCAUGCCUUUCCUUCUGCCAGUUUUCAAAUGUUCUUCUCUGGAGUCACUUCCAUUGUCACUCUGCUGCUCUUCUGUGCUUUUACGAUGACUACCAGCAGCUCUAGGUUGGAUACCUCAUUUACAUUCGGGAGGAAAAGAGAGCCUUUUUAUCUCAGCAUUCUCAGCAAAAUUCCAAGGUUCACACUAACUUGUCCAGCUGAGAUUCCAUGCCUUCUGCUGAACCAAGUGGGUGGACACUGAGAGCAAAAUUUCUAAUAUUCUGAAGUUUCAGUUCCCCAGAACAGUGUAUCAAAACUAAAGAAGUAAAUAAACUGCUUCUUUCACCAAUACUUUGCAAAAUGAUAGUCCUGGAUAUCCUGUGAAGCUGGUCUCCACUGGUUACAGAGAAGUGUUGGGCAGGUGGCUGGAUGCUCAUUGCAACUAGGAUGAGCAGGAAUUGACACUCGAAUCAUACCUUUUGUUCAGCCCUCUCCCCCACUCUGUCAGUAACCAUGACUCCCAAGGACUUGAAGCCUGCCUGCUUCUCUGGGUUGCAUGGUGCACUCAAUAUUUUUUUUCUCCCACUGCCCCCUCUCUAUGGACGUUUUAUGUGCUAUGAGUCAUGGAACUGAGUUCCAUAUCUCAGGUAGGCCCAUAGGUAAUGUUUCUACAGUGGUAUCCCAUUCUCCUUCCAAAUCCCUGCUGCUUUCCAGUCUGUAGACAAAGGCCAGGGAGUAACAUCAAAAGCAGUAAAGUCCUUCCUUUGAAUUGCCUCUUAGUCUCUGGCUUUUCCUGGAUUUUUCAAAACUGCUUGGACCCUGCCUUCGUGCUUCCUUAGGAUUUUGCUCACAGAGCUACUGUGCACUUGGACCUCAUAGAUUAGAGCAUGUGGGGUUUCAUACCACAUCCAAUAGGAUAGAUAGUUAAAGUCCUUACUCCUUCUGUCCAUUCCAAAAGCCUCUUGAUUUCUGCUCACCUCCAUCCCAAAUUUUCUUACAGUUUUCCCUACUACGUCACCAUCUACAGCUCCAAACCUCCUCUGGGGAGUUCACAUGAGGAUGAUGAUGUCCAGAAACGUCAAGUGACUUUUCUAAGGCCACACUGUUAGUAAAUAGCAGAGUAUGACUAAGUCUCUUAAUGCUAAUUGUCAAUUUAAUAGAAAAAAGUGGAAACAAUUAUCAAAUUACUAAAAUCACUUUCAACCCAGCACGUGCUGAAUACUUUGAUUAUAGCAAUGCUAAAAAUAACUUCCAAAUUUAUAAUUUAGGGCAAGGGAUGUGAGAAGGUAGACAUUAGUCACAAUGAGACAAAAUAAGAGAGAAUUGAUGGUCUAUUACCUUAAGCAUUCACCUUUCUAGGAAACUGUCAGGAAGUCAGAAAAUUACAUAAACAUAAUGAGAGUAUGACUCAAACUAUUUUUCCUUAAACUUAAUAGUAAAAACAUAUAAUCUCUAAAUUAUUACUUGUUUUCUUGCUUCAAGGUCAAAGUGAAUAGCACAUCUUUGGAAUGCUCUCCAUUAGGAGUGAUUGACAAAAAUUUCUUGUGAAUUAACUACUCCCAGUGUAAACAUAUUCUUGCAUAAAUGAAUGAAUGUAUGUCCGUUAAAAGCAUGUUACAGUCUAAUAAAUCAAGGAAACCAUUGUCUGACUAUUAACUAGAUGACACACUUGAAAAAAUGUUUUUUUUCUGAUCCUGAAUUCAGUAUUUGGAAGUUCAAACUCUUCUAGUUUUGAUUCCAAGGCAGAUAGUCUCAUGUAGACAGGUAAAAUAUCUUAUUGAAGAAAUCAGAAAGUGACCUCUUCAAACUGAAUUAAUUUCACUCAAGUUCAAUAGCAGAAAAAAUGGUUUAGAUUAAAAAAUAGCUCUGGUUAAUUAUGACAUUCCAUUCUACUCUGAUUCUAUCAAAUUUUCAGAUAAGGACUGAUCUUUGGGAGCUUAUCAGAGCUGCUUGAAUAUUUUUUCUCUUUGCUUGGGCUUUAAAUCUUUCUUAGCAAAUUGCACAAUGCUGCUGAAUAGCUGAUAUUUAGUGAUUCUUAAAGUUUUGACUUAAAAGAUGGUAAUUGCUAACAUAGUAGUGCCAUGAGUUUAACAGAAGAAAAAUAGUCAAAAU
rnacentral:lncRNA from 1 species